rnacentral:rRNA from 1 species
GAUGAACGCUGACAGAAUGCUUAACACAUGCAAGUCAACUUGAACUUCGGUUUGGGUGGCGGACGGGUGAGUAACGCGUAAAGAACUUGCCUCACAGCUAGGGACAACAUUUGGAAACGAAUGCUAAUACCUGAUAUUAUGAUUUUAGGGCAUCCUAGAAUUAUGAAAGCUAUAUGCGCUGUGAGAGAGCUUUGCGUCCCAUUAGCUAGUUGGAGAGGUAACGGCUCACCAAGGCGAUGAUGGGUAGCCGGCCUGAGAGGGUGAACGGCCACAAGGGGACUGAGACACGGCGCUUACUACUACGGGAGGCAGCAGUGGAGAAUAUUGGACAAUGGACCAAGAGUCUGAUCCAGCAAUUCUGUGUGCGCGAUGAAGUUUUUCGGAAUGUAAAGUGCUUUAAGUUGGGAAGAAAAAAAUGACGGUACCAACAGAAGAAGUGACGGCUAAAUACGUG